CCUACGGGAGACAGCAGUGAGGAAUAUUGGUCAAUGGACGAGAGUCUGAACCAGCCAAGUAGCGUGAAGGAUGACUGCCCUAUGGGUUGUACACUUCUUUUAUAAAGGAAUAAAACGAGGCACGUGUGCCUUUUUGCAUGUACUUUAUGCAUAUGGAUCGGCUAACUCCGUGCCAGCAGCCGCGGUAAUACGGAGGAUCCGAGCGUUAUCCGGAUUUAUUGGGGUUAAAGGGAGCGUAGAUGGGUUGUUAAGUCAGUUGUAAAAGUUUGCGGCUCAACCGUAAAAUUGCAGUUGAUACUGUCAUGCUAGAGUACAGUUGAGGUAGGCGAAAUUCGUGGUGUAGCGGUGAAAUGCUUAGAUAUCACGAAGAACCCCGAUGGUGAAGGCAGCUUACUAAACUGUGACUGACAUUGAUGCUCGAAAGUGUGGGUAUCAAACAGGAUUAGAUACCCGAGUAGUC
rnacentral:rRNA from 1 species